AGUGAACGCUGGCGGUAGGCCUAACACAUGCAAGUCGAACGGCAGCACAGUAAGAGCUUGCUCUUACGGGUGGCGAGUGGCGGACGGGUGAGGAAUACAUCGGAAUCUACUUUUUCGUGGGGGAUAACGAAGGGAAACUUACGCUAAUACCGCAUACGACCGACGGGUGAAAGCAGUGGAUCUUCGGACCUUGCGCGAUUGAAUGAGCCGAUGUCGGAUUAGCUAGUUGGCGGGGUAAAGGCCCACCAAGGCGACGAUCCGUAGCUGGUCUGAGAGGAUGAGCAGCCACACUGGAAGUGAGACACGGCACAGACUCCUACGGGAGGCAGCAGUAGGGAAUAGUGGACAAGGGGCGCAAACCUGAUCCAGCCAUACCGCGUGGGUGAAGAAGGCCUUCGGUUUGUAAAGCCCUUUUGUUGGGAAAGAAAAGCAGCAGGUUAAUACCCCGCUGUUCUGACGGUACCCAAAGAAUAAGCACCGGCUAACUUCGUG
rnacentral:rRNA from 1 species